CUUGUUCUUCUUGGCUUUUAUUGACUGGUUCUGAUAUACUCACGUGACAUUGACUGGUGGAAAAUUAAUUACGCUCAUCUGACAUUAGAAUACCCAGCCAUUGCCAUGUUGAGUGCCUACUCGCUAACAUAGGAGGUUAUGGUUCAAAUCUGGACAACCUCAUUUUGCUUUAAGUAUUUCCUAAGUACCAAAAAAAAAAAAAAAGAAAGAAUAUCCAGCCAUUUAUUUCUCCAUUUCUUCCAUCCGUUUUAAGUUGCAUUCUGCUAGCUCUCUAUUUCCC
rnacentral:misc_RNA from 1 species